rnacentral:rRNA from 1 species
CGCCUAACACAUGCAAGUCGAACGAAGUAGCAAUACUUAGUGGCAGACGGGUGAGUAACAUGUAGGUAUCUACCCUUUGGCCUGGAAUAACACGAGGAAACUUGUGCUAAUACUGGAUAAGUCUUUACGGAGAAAGCUUUAUGCACCAAUGGAUGAGCCUGCACUUGAUUAGUUUGUUGGUAGGGUAAUGGCCUACCAAGACUGUGAUCAAUAGCUGAUUUGAGAGGAUGAUCAGCCACAUUGGGACUGAGACACGGCCCAAACUCCUACGGGAGGCAGCAGUGGGGAAUCUUGCACAAUGGAGGAAACUCUGAUGCAGCGAUGCCGCGUGAGUGAAGAAGGCCCUUGGGUUGUAAAGCUCUUUCGUCGGGGAAGAAAAUGACUGUACCCGAAUAAGAAGGUCCGGCUAACUUCGUGCCAGCAGCCGCGGUAAUACGAAGGGACCUAGCGUAGUUCGGAAUUACUGGGCUUAAAGAGUUCGUAGGUGGUUGAAAUAGUUGGUGGUGAAAUCCCAGAGCUUAACUCUGGAACUGCCAUCAAAACUUUUCAGCUAGAGUUUGAUAGAGGAAAGCAGAAUUUCUAGUGUAGAGGUGAAAUUCGUAGAUAUUAGAAAGAAUACCAAUUGCGAAGGCAGCUUUCUGGAUCAUUACUGACACUGAGGAACGAAAGCAUGGGUAGCGAAGAGGAUUAGAUACCCUCGUAGUCCAUGCCGUAAAC